rnacentral:tRNA from 1 species
GGGGUUGUAGCUCAGUGGUAGAGCGCUCGCCUCACACAUGCGAGACCCUGGGUUCAAUUCUCAGCACCA